rnacentral:rRNA from 1 species
CCUACGGGUGGCAGCAGUGGGGAAUAUUGCACAAUGGGGGAAACCCUGAUGCAGCGACGCCGCGUGAGUGAAGAAGUAAUUCGUUAUGUAAAGCUCUAUCAGCAGGGAAGAAAAUGACGGUACCUGAGUAAGAAGCCCCGGCUAACCACGUGCCAGCAGCCGCGGAAAAACUUAGGGGGCAAGCGUUACCCGGAUUUCAGGGGGGUAAAGGGAGCGUAGACGGGUGGGCAAGUCUGGAGUGAAGGGGGGGGGCUCAACCCCCGGACUGCACUGGAAACUGUACGGCUGGAGUGCAGGAGAGGUAAGUGGAAUUCCUAGUGUAGCGGUGAAAUGCGUAGAUAUUAGGAGGAACACCAGUGGCGAAGGCGGCUUACUGGACUGUAACUGACGUUGAGGCUCGAAAGCGUGGGGAGCAAACAGGAUUAGAUACCCUAGUAGUC